AAAUUGAUGACGUAGAUU
rnacentral:snRNA from 1 species